rnacentral:rRNA from 1 species
CGAGGAUUCCCUUAGUAACGGCGAGUGAACAGGGAAAAGCCCAUCGCUGAAUCCCAUAAUCAUUGAUUAUCGGGAACUGUAGCGUAUAGGUGUAACUAUUCGGUGAUUUUUGCUUACCCAAAGUUCCCUUGAGUGGGGCUAUAGUCCAUAGAGGGUGCUAGGCCUGUACGGGUAGCAAAAUUAUCGAUAUCGGUUGCUCCUUGGAGUCGAGUUGCCUGGGAACGCAGCUCAAAGUAGGUGGUAAACCUCAUCUAAGGCUAAAUAUGACUACGAGACCGAUAGCGAACAAGUACCGUGAGGGAAAGUUGCAAAGAACUUUGAAGAGAGAGUUCAAGAGGGCGUGAAACCGCUGAGAAGGAAGCGGAUAGAGUUGACGAAACACAGUGGCAUUCAUCCGAUCAGUGGUACAACCAAUAUAUCACUUGUACUGUCUUGUGCUUGAGAUAGCAAUGAUAUGUUUGGUUGGGCGAUUCACCACUUGGUUGGUGCUUUUGCCAUUGGUAUGCGCUAAGAGGUUCGCUAUGAUGCGUCAAAAUCAAUUUAAAGAGGACUAAACUUGACGUUUACGUUUAGAAACCUUUAAUGAUCGAGGCGUAUUCGUGGUGAAUCGCUGUUUCGCGGUUACAUCGUUGGCUAGUUUGUGCAGCCGGUUGUUAUGUGCGUGCUAUGGUUGCAUUGGUUGUUGGGCGGUCGCAUGCGACUUGUCUACAGCUGAGUGUAACCC